rnacentral:rRNA from 1 species
GUGCCAGCAGCCGCGGUAAUACGUAGGGCGCAAGCGUUAUCCGGAAUUAUUGGGCGUAAAGAGCUCGUAGGCGGUUUGUCGCGUCUGCUGUGAAAACCCGAGGCUCAACCUCGGGCCUGCAGUGGGUACGGGCAGACUAGAGUGCGGUAGGGGAGAUUGGAAUUCCUGGUGUAGCGGUGGAAUGCGCAGAUAUCAGGAGGAACACCGAUGGCGAAGGCAGGUCUCUGGGCCGUAACUGACGCUGAGGAGCGAAAGGGUGGGGAGCGAACAGGCUUAGAUACCCUGGUAGUCCACCCCGUAAACGUUGGGAACUAGUUGUGGGGGCCUUUCCACGGUCUCCGUGACGCAGCUAACGCAUUAAGUUCCCCGCCUGGGGAGUACGGCCGCAAGGCUAAAACUCAAAGGAAUUGACGGGGACCCGCACAAGCGGCGGAGCAUGCGGAUUAAUUCGAUGCAACGCGAAGAACCUUACCAAGGCUUGACAUAUACCGGAAAAGGCUGGAAACAGUCUCCCCCUUGUGGUCGGUAUACAGGUGGUGCAUGGUUGUCGUCAGCUCGUGUCGUGAGAUGUUGGGUUAAGUCCCGCAACGAGCGCAACCCUCGUUCUAUGUUGCCAGCACGUUAUGGUGGGAACUCAUGGGAUACUGCCGGGGUCAACUCGGAGGAAGGUGGGGAUGACGUCAAAUCAUCAUGCCCCUUAUGUCUUGGGCUUCACGCAUGCUACAAUGGCCGGUACAAAGGGCUGCGAUACCGUAAGGUGGAGCGAAUCCCAAAAAGCCGGUCCCAGUUCGGAUUGUAGUCUGCAACUCGACUACAUGAAGUCGGAGUCGCUAGUAGUCGCAGAUCAGCAACGCUGCGGUGAAUACGUUCCCGGGUCUUGUACACACCGCCCGU